UAUUAGGGAAGAACAAACCCACAAUUUCCUGGUUCACAUCCAGUUUCUCUUAACAGACAUUUUGUGAGUUGUCCUCUGGGGGCGCAAUGGCAUGAACAGUCUGCAAGAAUCACAAUAGGGAGAUAAUCUGCAACUACUAAGACAAAGAUACUACUAUGCUACAUGGAAGGCUGAUGGAACCCGCUACAUGAUGUUCAUUAACAGUAUGGGGUGCUACCUAAUUGAUCGAAACUUCUAUUUUCGUAGGGUUCAAAUGCGGUUUCCCCUAAAGAAUGCUGCUGAGAGUUUCCAUAAUAAUACGUUGAUUGAUGGGGAAAUGAUUAUCGACCAAAUUCCAGAUGUAGGACAGAAGAGAAGAUAUUUAGCAUAUGAUUUGGUUGCAUUAAACGGUUUCUCCGUUAUGAAGUUUCCGUUUUCUGAAAGGUGGAAACUACUUGAAGAAGAAGUAAUUCGACCAAGGAAUUAUGAGAGAAAGCAAUUAGAAUCUGACAGCAAGGGACAUC